rnacentral:lncRNA from 1 species
ACGCCACAUCAAUCCAUUACUUCUAAAUUUGGAUGCCCAUAGAUUCAGAUAUAUGGUUACACAAUAACAUCAACGGAGGUACUCCCAAAUCCCAAUAACAUCCACAAAGUUUUGAAAAAUACUGUACAACCAUUUAGCAAGGAGAUGGGAACUCAUGACGAGAGGGAGUUGCUCGGAUGGUAAGCACCCCUCAUUUCCAACCCGAAGGUUGCGAGUUCGAGUCACCAAGGGAGCAAAAAGGGUGGGAGCUCCUGGGGAGGGGUAAAAAAAAAAAGGAGAUGGGAACUCAUGACGAGAGGGAGUUGCUCGGAUGGUAAGCACCCCUCAUUUCCAACCCGAAGGUUGCGAGUUCGAG